rnacentral:rRNA from 1 species
CAGUGCCGCGGGAAUACGGAGGGUGCAAGCGUUAAUCGGAAUUACUGGGCGUAAAGCGUGCGCAGGCGGUUAUAUAAGACAGAUGUGAAAUCCCCGGGCUCAACCUGGGAACUGCAUUUGUGACUGUAUAGCUAGAGUACGGCAGAGGGGGAUGGAAUUCCGCGUGUAGCAGUGAAAUGCGUAGAUAUGCGGAGGAACACCGAUGGCGAAGGCAAUCCCCUGGGCCUGUACUGACGCUCAUGCACGAAAGCGUGGGGAGCAAACAGGAUUAGAUACCCCAGUAGUCCCUGUCUCUUAUACA